ACAAACUUGGUCAUUUAGAGGAAGUAAAAGUCGUAACAAGGUUUCCGUAGGUGAACCUGCGGAAGGAUCAUUACUGAAUUCAUGAAGGGGUUGUAGCUGGCCUCUAGAGGCAUGUGCACAACCUGUCUUGACUUUCAUUCAUUCACCUGUGCACUUUUGUAGUCUUUUGAGCAGACAUAUGAGAGCAGUGACCAAGCUCAGCUGUUAACAGGCUGGAUAUGAGGCUUGCCUGAUAUCAUCAGGCUCUUCUGGGUUGCAAAUCUCUCGUCUGCAGAGACUAUGUAUUUUAUCAUAAACACCUAUAGUAUGUGACUGGAAUGUAAUUGAAUUGGCCUUGUGCCUAUUAAACAUUAUACAACUUUCAGCAACGGAUCUCUUGGCUCUCGCAUCGAUGAAGAACGCAGC
rnacentral:misc_RNA from 1 species